AUCAAAUGUCUGCAGGAAGAGACACAGGUUGCCUUUUGGGACCCCAGGGAAAAACACACCACCAGCUUAGCUCCUGGACCUUCCUCACUGUCCCCUCCCAUUCUAGCCUCCCUUGACCCAGAUGCCCUGCUGCUGCUGCCCUGGGUCUUGGGGCAGGCCCUGGGGACCCUGCAGCCCUGUUGAAUCCUGGCUUGAGCUCCUGAUCCUGCUCUUUUCCCCUUCGGAAUGUGCCUCUCCCUCCUCGCUGUCACCGUUCUCUGCGCCAUAUCUCCCGUAAUAAAAACCAGUCCUCGAGUGGCAUCUGUGCCCCUCCCAACAGUUUAGGGCCAUUAUAUUAAAUAAUGAUAAUCACAA
rnacentral:lncRNA from 1 species